rnacentral:rRNA from 1 species
AUUGAACGCUGGCGGCAGGCCUAACACAUGCAAGUCGAGCGAGCGGCGGACGGGUGAGUAAUGUCUGGGAACAUGCCUGAUGGAGGGGGAUAACUACUGGAAACGGUAGCUAAUACCGCAUACCAUCAGAGUUGCCAAGAUGGGCGUAGCUAGUCGGUGGGGUAACGGCUCACCUAGGCGACGAACCCUAGCUGGUCUGAGAGGAUGACCAGCCACACUGGAACUGAGACCUGGUACAGACUGCUGCGGGAGGCAGCACUGGGGAAGAUUGCACAAUGGGGGCAAGCCUGAUGCAGCCAUGCGGUGUGUGUGAAGAAGGCCUUCGGUGUGUGAAGAACUUUCGGCGGGGAGGCGUUACCCGCAGAAGAAGCACCGGCUAACGCCGUGCCAGCAGCCGCGGUAAUAC